AUUGAACGCUGGCGGCAUGCUUUACACAUGCAAGUCGAACGGUAACAGGUUAAGCUGACGAGUGGCGAACGGGUGAGUAAUGCAUCGGAACGUGCCCGGUCGUGGGGGAUAACGCAGCGAAAGCUGCGCUAAUACCGCAUACGAUCUGAGGAUGAAAGCGGGGGACCGUAAGGCCUCGCGCGAUCGGAGCGGCCGAUGGCAGGUUAGGUAGUUGGUGGGGUAAAGGCUCACCAAGCCGACGAUAUGUAGCUGGUCUGAGAGGACGACCAGCCACACGGGGACUGAGCAACGGCCCAGACUCCUACGGGGGGCAGCAGUGGGGAAUGUUGGAAAAUGGGCGCAAGCCUGAUCCAGCAAUGCCGCGUGCAGGAAGAAGGCCUUCGGGUUGUAAACUGCUUUUGUACGGAGCCAAAAAGCUCUCUCUAAUACAGGGGGCUCAUGACGGUACCGUAAGAAUAAGCACCGGCUAACUACGUGCCAGCCGCCGCCGUAAGAC
rnacentral:rRNA from 1 species